rnacentral:rRNA from 1 species
CAAGUCGAGCGCGUAGCAAUACGAGCGGCGCACGGGUGAGUAACACGUAAAGAAUCUGCCCUAAAGUGGGGAAUAACUAUCCCAACGGAUAGCUAAUACCGCAUAAGGACGGGAGUGGCAUCACUCCUACUCGAAAGGCUUCGGCCGCUUUAGGAUGACUUUGCGUCCCAUUAGCUUGUUGGCGGUGUAACGGACCACCAAGGCGACGAUGGGUAUCCGGCCUGAGAGGGUGUACGGACACAUUGGGACUGAGAUACGGCCCAGACUCCUACGGGAGGCAGCAGUAGGGAAUUUUGCGCAAUGGGGGAAACCCUGACGCAGCAACGCCAUGUGUGGGAUGAAGCAUUUCGGUGUGUAAACCACUGUCAGCAGGGAAUAAACAGCUUCUUCGGAGGCGAUUGAAUGUACCUGCAAAGGAAGCCCCGGCUAACUUCGUGCCAGCAGCCGCGGUAAUACGAGGGGGGCAAAUGUUGUUCGGAAUCACUGGGCGUAAAGGGAGCGUAGGCGGGUGUUUAAGUUAGGUGUUUAAUCCCGGGGCCCAACCCCGGUCGUGCACCUAAAACUGGGCAUCUUGAAUAGUGGAGAGGUCAGUGGAAUUGGGGGUGUAGCGGUGGAAUGCGUAGAGAUCCCCAAGAACACCAGUUGCGAAGGCGGCUGACUGGACACAUAUUGACGCUGAGGCUCGAAAGCAUGGGGAGCAAACAGGAUUAGAUACCCUGGUAGUCCAUGCUAUAAACGAUGAAUACUAGGUUUUGGGCCCGUCAACGGUCCAGAGCCGCAGCUAACGCGUUAAGUAUUCCGCCUGGGGAGUAC